rnacentral:rRNA from 1 species
UCCGCAAUGGGCGAAAGCCUGACGGAGCAACGCCGCGUGAGUGAUGAAGGUUUUCGGAUCGUAAAGCUCUGUUGCCAAGGAAGAACGUCUUCUAGAGUAACUGCUAGGAGAGUGACGGUACUUGAGAAGAAAGCCCCGGCUAACUACGUGCCAGCAGCCGCGGUAAUACGUAGGGGGCAAGCGUUGUCCGGAAUUAUUGGGCGUAAAGCGCGCGCAGGCGGUUCUUUAAGUCUGGUGUUUAAACCCGAGGCUCAACUUCGGGUCGCACUGGAAACUGGGGGACUUGAGUGCAGAAGAGGAGAGUGGAAUUCCACGUGUAGCGGUGAAAUGCGUAGAUAUGUGGAGGAACACCAGGGCGA